UACAGAGGGUGCGAGCGUUAAUCGGAAUUACUGGGCGUAAAGCGCGCGUAGGCGGCUUUGCAAGUCGGGUGUGAAAUCCCCAGGCUUAACCUGGGAACUGCAUCCGAGACUGCAUUGCUAGAGUAUGGGAGAGGGAAGCGGAAUUUCUGGUGUAGCAGUGAAAUGCGUAGAUAUCAGAAGGAACAUCAGUGGCGAAGGCGGCUUCCUGGACCAAUACUGACGAUCAGGUGCGAAAGCGUGGGGAGCAAACAGG
rnacentral:rRNA from 1 species